rnacentral:rRNA from 1 species
UACGAAGGGGGCUAGCGUUGUUCGGAUUUACUGGGCGUAAAGCGCACGUAGGCGGAUCGAUCAGUCCAGGGGGUGAAAAUCCCAGAGCUCAACUCUGGAACUGCCUUUGAUACUGUCGAUCGUGGAGUAUGGAAGAGGUGAGUGGAAUUCCGAGUGAUAGAGGUGAAAUUCGGUAGAUAUUCGGAGGAACACCAGUGGCGAAGGCGGCUCACUGGUCCA